UUGAGGAACUUUAUAGUCUUC
rnacentral:piRNA from 1 species